rnacentral:rRNA from 1 species
AUUGAACGCUGGCGGUAGGCCUAACACAUGCAAGUCGAGCGGCAGCGGACCUUCGGGUGCCGGCGAGUGGCGAACGGGUGAGUAAUAUAUCGGAACGUACCUUUCAGUGGGGGAUAACGUAGCGAAAGUUACGCUAAUACCGCAUAUUCUGUGAGCAGGAAAGCAGGGGAUCGCAAGACCUUGCGCUGAUUGAGCGGCCGAUAUCAGAUUAGCUAGUUGGUGAGGUAAAGGCUCACCAAGGCGACGAUCUGUAGCGGGUCUGAGAGGAUGAUCCGCCACACUGGAACUGAGACACGGUCCAGACUCCUACGGGAGGCAGCAGUGGGGAAUUUUGGACAAUGGGCGGCAAGACCUGAUCCA